ACGAACGCUGGCGGCGUGCCUAAUCCAUGCAAGUAGAACGCUGAAGAGAGGAGCUUGCUCUUCUUGGAUGAGUUGCGAACGGGUGAGUAACGCGUAGGUAACCUGCCUUGUAGCGGGGGAUAACUAUUGGAAACGAUAGCUAAUACCGCAUAACAAUGGAUGACACAUGUCAUUUAUUUGAAAGGGGCAAUUGCUCCACUACAAGAUGGACCUGCGUUGUAUUAGCUAGUAGGUGAGGUAACGGCUCACCUAGGCGACGAUACAUAGCCGACCUGAGAGGGUGAUCGGCCACACUGGGACUGAGACACGGCCCAGACUCCUACGGGAGGCAGCAGUAGGGAAUCUUCGGCAAUGGGGGCAACCCUGACCGAGCAACGCCGCGUGAGUGAAGAAGGUUUUCGGAUCGUAAAGCUCUGUUGUAAGUCAAGAACGAGUGUGAGAGUGGAAAGUUCACACUGGGACGGUAGCUUACCAGAAAGGGACGGCUAACUACGU
rnacentral:rRNA from 1 species